rnacentral:rRNA from 1 species
GAUGAACGCUGGCGGCGUGCCUAAUACAUGCAAGUCGAGCGAACAGACGAGGAGCUUGCUCCUCUGACGUUAGCGGCGGACGGGUGAGUAACACGUGGAUAACCUACCUAUAAGACUGGGAUAACUUCGGGAAACCGGAGCUAAUACCGGAUAAUAUAUUGAACCGCAUGGUUCAAUAGUGAAAGACGGUUUUGCUGUCACUUAUAGAUGGAUCCGCGCCGCAUUAGCUAGUUGGUAAGGUAACGGCUUACCAAGGCAACGAUGCGUAGCCGACCUGAGAGGGUGAUCGGCCACACUGGAACUGAGACACGGUCCAGACUCCUACGGGAGGCAGCAGUAGGGAAUCUUCCGCAAUGGGCGAAAGCCUGACGGAGCAACGCCGCGUGAGUGAUGAAGGUCUUCGGAUCGUAAAACUCUGUUAUUAGGGAAGAACCAAUGUGUAAGUAACUAUGCACGUCUUGACGGUACCUAAUCAGAAAGCAACGGCUAACUACGUG